AGAAUCAACGCUGGCGGCGUGCCUAACACAUGCAAGUCGAACGCGAAAGUGGAGCAAUCCAUGAGUAGAGUGGCAAACGGGUGAGUAACGCGUGGGCGACCUGCCUUCGAGUGGGGGAUAACAUUCCGAAAGGGAUGCUAAUACCGCAUAACAUCCUUCGUUUAGAUACGAGGUGAUCAAAGCCGGGAGCAAUUCUGGCGCUUAAAGAGGGGCCCGCGUCCGAUUAGCUAGUUGGUGGGUAACGGCCUACCAAGGCUUCGAUCGGUA
rnacentral:rRNA from 1 species